AUACGAAGGGGGCUAGCGUUGUUCGGAAUCACUGGGCGUAAAGCGCGCGUAGGUGGAUCAAUUAGUUGAGGGUGAAAUCCCGGGGCUCAACCUCGGAACUGCCUUCAAUACUGUUGAUCUUGAGACCGAGAGAGGUGAGUGGAAUUCCUAGUGUAGAGGUGAAAUUCGUAGAUAUUAGGAAGAACACCAGUGGCGAAGGCGGCUCACUGGCUCGGUACUGACGCUGAGGUGCGAGAGCGUGGGGAGCAAACAGGAUUAGAAACCCUAGUAGUCC
rnacentral:rRNA from 1 species